rnacentral:tRNA from 1 species
ACCCUGGUGGUCCAGUGGAUAAGACUCCACACUCCCACUGUGGGAGUGCUGGUUCCAUCCCUGGGUG